UACGGGGGGGGCAAGCGUUGUUCGGAAUUACUGGGCGUAAAGGGCUCGUAGGCGGCCAACUAAGUCAGACGUGAAAUCCCUCGGCUUAACCGGGGAACUGCGUCUGAUACUGGAUGGCUUGAGUUUGGGAGAGAGAUGCGGAAUUCCAGGUGUAGCGGUGAAAUGCGUAGAUAUCUGGAGGAACACCGGUGGCGAAGGCGGCAUCCUGGACCAACACUGACGCUGAGUGAGCGAAAGCCAGGGGAGCAAACGGG
rnacentral:rRNA from 1 species